rnacentral:rRNA from 1 species
UAAUACCCGCAGCCCAAGUGGUGAUCGCUUUUAUUGAGCCUAAAGCGUCCGUAGCCUGUCUGCUAAAUCCCUGAGUAAAUCGGAGAGCUUAACUUUCCGAACAUCGGGGACACUGGCAGACUUGGAACCGGGAGAGGUCAGAGGUACUUUCAGGGUAGGGGUGAAAUCCUGUAAUCCUGAGAGGACCACCAGUGGCGAAGGCGUCUGACUAGAACGGAUUCGACGGUGAGGGACGAAGCCCUGGGGCGCAAACCGGAUUAGAUACCCGGGUAGUCCAGGGUGUAAACGCUGCAGACUUGGUGUCGGGAAUCCCACGAGGGUGUCCGGUGCCGGAGAGAAGUUGUUAAGUCUGCCGCUUGGGAAGUACGGUCGCAAGACUG